rnacentral:lncRNA from 1 species
UUGAGAACAAUUUUGCUUCUAAAUUGAAAUUGGAAGGCAUAUAAGUUACAAAGGAUAGUCCCUUCCAUUAUUUGAGUUCCUCUAGUAGAAAAUAUCUUGCUGAAAAAUGGAUUUAAUUAUAAGUGCCCAUGGUGAUAUUUUGAAUAAGCAAGUAAUGGAGAUGAGGAAGAAGGAUGACAAUACUUGAUACUAUGCAUUAUGCCUAGCUAAGGGCGUAAAACGAUAGCACUUGUUGGGAGGCAACCCAAUAGUUAUCUUAAUUUUUUUGUUUUAGUAUGUUUAAAUGAUUACUGAUAUGUAAUUAUUGUGUUUUUACGUUUAAUUUGUGUUUGUACCAAGUAAAUCCUUUGGG